rnacentral:rRNA from 1 species
UUUCCCUCAGGAUAGCUGGCACUCGCUUGAGCGAGUCUCAUCUGGUAAAGCGAAUGAUUAGAGGCCUUGGGGCCGAAACGACCUCAACCUAUUCUCAAACUUUAAAUGGGUGAGAUCUCUGGCUUGCUUGAACGUUGAAGCCACGAGAUAAUUAUGGAUCAGAGUGCCAAGUGGGCCAAUUUUGGUAAGCAGAACUGGCGCUGUGGGA